UACGUAGGGGGCAAGCGUUGUCCGGAAUCAUUGGGCGUAAAGAGCGUGUAGGCGGUCCGAUAAGUCGGUUGUGAAAGUCCAGGGCUCAACCCUGGGAUGCCGACCGAUACUGUCGGACUAGAGUUCGGAAGAGGCGAGUGGAAUUCCCGGUGUAGCGGUGAAAUGCGCAGAUAUCGGGAGGAACACCUAUGGCGAAGGCAGCUCGCUGGGACGUUACUGACGCUAAGGCGCGAAAGCGUGGGGAGC
rnacentral:rRNA from 1 species